rnacentral:snRNA from 1 species
AUACUUCUCUCGGUCUUUUGGCAAAGGUAAAGUGUAAUAUUUGUUCUUAUUAGUUUCAUAUCUGAUAUAUAAACCAUAUGUUCACUUCGAUAUUAAUUUUUUUAUGGGUAUCAAAUAUGAUUGUGCCUCGCUUCUCGCCUAAACUUGAUAGCUGAAGGAGGACAAGUGACUGAUC